CACUGCCGAGAAAAGCCUCUAGAUAGAAAAUAGGUGCCCGUACCGCAAACCGACACAGGUAGUCAAGAUGAGAAUUCUAAGGUGAGCGAGCGAACUCUCGUUAAGGAACUCGGCAAAAUGACCCCGUAACUUCGGGAGAAGGGGUGCUCUUUAGGGUUAACGCCCAGAAGAGCCGCAGUGAAUAGGCCCAAGCGACUGUUUAUCAAAAACACAGGUCUCUGCUAAACCGUAAGGUGAUGUAUAGGGGCUGACGCCUGCCCGGUGCUGGAAGGUUAAGAGGAGUGGUUAGCUUCUGCGAAGCUACGAAUCGAAGCCCCAGUAAACGGCGGCCGUAACUAUAACGGUCCUAAGGUAGCGAAAUUCCUUGUCGGGUAAGUUCCGACCCGCACGAAAGGCGUAACGAUUUGGGCACUGUCUCAACGAGAGACUCGGUGAAAUCAUAGUACCUGUGAAGAUGCAGGUUACCCGCGACAGGACGGAAAGACCCCGUGGAGCUUUACUGUAGCCUGAUAUUGAAAUUCGGCACAGCUUGUACAGGAUAGGUAGGAGCCUUUGAAACGUGAGCGCUAGCUUACGUGGAGGCGCUGGUGGGAUACUACCCUAGCUGUGUUGGCUUUCUAACCCGCACCACUUAUCGUGGUGGGAGACAGUGUCAGGCGGGCAGUUUGACUGGGGCGGUCGCCUCCUAAAAGGUAACGGAGGCGCUCAAAGGUUCCCUCAGAAUGGUUGGAAAUCAUUCAUAGAGUGUAAAGGCAUAAGGGAGCUUGACUGCGAGACCUACAAGUCGAGCAGGGUCGAAAGACGGACUUAGUGAUCCGGUGGUUCCGCAUGGAAGGGCCAUCGCUCAACGGAUAAAAGCUACCCCGGGGAUAACAGGCUUAUCUCCCCCAAGAGUUCACAUCGACGGGGAGGUUUGGCACCUCGAUGUCGGCUCAUCGCAUCCUGGGGCUGUAGUCGGUCCCAAGGGUUGGGCUGUUCGCCCAUUAAAGCGGUACGCGAGCUGGGUUCAGAACGUCGUGAGACAGUUCGGUCCCUAUCCGUCGUGGGCGUAGGAAAUUUGAGAGGAGCUGUCCUUAGUACGAGAGGACCGGGAUGGACAUACCUCUGGUGUACCAGUUGUCGUGCCAACGGCAUAGCUGGGUAGCUAUGUGUGGACGGGAUAAGUGCUGAAAGCAUCUAAGCAUGAAGCCCCCCUCAAGAUGAGAUUUCCCAACUUCGGUUAUAAGAUCCCUCAAAGAUGAUGAGGUUAAUAGGUUCGAGGUGGAAGCAUGGUGACAUGUGGAGCUGACGAAUACUAAUCGAUCG
rnacentral:rRNA from 1 species